GGAAACGCGGGGCCAGAAGCGGGGGGAAGAGGGGGGGGGCAAGCGGUGGCCGGAUGUAUUGGGCGUGAAGGGCGGGUAGGCGGCUAGGUAGGUCCGGUGUGAAAACUCGAGGCUCAACCUCGAGACGCCGAUGGAAACCAUCUGGCUAGAGUCCGGAAGAGGAGAGUGGAAUUCCUGGUGUAGCGGUGAAAUGCGCAGAUAUCAGGAAGAACACCCGUGGCUAAGGCGGCUCUCUAGUACGGUACUGACGCUGAGACGCGAAAGCGUGGGGAGCGAACAGGAUUAGAUACCCGGGUAGUC
rnacentral:rRNA from 1 species